CAGUUUCCAGCUUGUUUCUUUUAACAAAAUAAUCAGGAGCUCAAUUGAUGUUGUAUAAAACGCAACUCUCCACUUAAAAGAUUCUGUUAGUUAUUACAAGAUGUGGUAUGAUUUAGUGAUAAAAACUUUGUGAGCGUGGUGUUUAGAACCUCUAGCCAACCGUUGAUGAUAUAUACAUUGUAUCGAGAACAAUGCACAACUAAUUCCUGUAUUUAUUUGCACUUUCUCCUGUAUAUGUACUUUCUAAUUUCUUGUUGAUUUGAAUGCAUAAAUUCUAACAUCAUCUAUAUGAUCAUGGCCUGAUCUGCCAUAAACAACUUGGAAACGUGCAAUCAGAAUGCUGGCGUGCUCGAAAUAGCAGAUUGAGAACCUAAUAAAGAAAGUUACCAUCAAGUUUUUUUUUGAGGGGAUAUCACCAAAGAUCGUUAUUACCAGACCCGUGACCGUGGUAGAAUGUAUAACAUACACUUACUGAAGAUAAUCUCCAGUGAACUCCAUCGGAAGUCCAAGAUUUUAAGCAGCAAACAAGUCCCAGAACGCAAGCUGAAGAAUUUAGCACAUGGAGCUCCGCGCUCGAGUCCUUUAUCCUUCUUCAAGCUGAAGUCCUUUAUUUUGAGCAGAAAACGAGUCCCAGAGUGCAAUCUGAAGAAUUAUAGCAUACCGAGCUCCAUGAUCCAGCUUUUUAUCCUUCUCUUUUCUUUUGAACUGUGACGUGUUUGAAUUCGUGCCUGCUCCAGCACAAGCGAAACACAGCUAGGGCUUCCAUUUCGUGAUGUGUUUUUUUUACAUGACCGCAGAAGAUAAUUGCCAAAUCAGUAGUCCAACAUGUUCAUGUUGUUGUUCGACAGGCUGUUGUUUUAGCUGCUGCUUGAUA